GUAGGUGAACCUGCGGAAGGAUCAUUACCAAAUCCAAAUACCCAACCCCAUGUGAACUAUUGUUUGUUGUCCUUGGGGGGUGUGAAGGGUUCUUCUUUUUCAAUUUUUUUGCUUUAGAAAAAAUACGAAAAAAAGUCCUUUUCACCCCCCAAAAGAAUCCGGCACUCCGGUGUUUGUGAUUCUUGAUAAACCACAGAUUUCUAUAUUUUGGAAUGAAAUUUUUAUUAAUCUUAAUAAAAGACAACUUUUA
rnacentral:misc_RNA from 1 species